AAUAGAUACCCGGGUAGUCCACGCCGUAAACGAUGAGUGCUAAGUGUUAGAGGGUUUCCGCCCUUUAGUGCUGCAGCUAACGCAUUAAGCACUCCGCCUGGGGAGUACGGCCGCAAGGCUGAAACUCAAAGGAAUUGACGGGGGCCCGCACAAGCGGUGGAGCAUGUGGUUUAAUUCGAAGCAACGCGAAGAACCUUACCAGGUCUUGACAUCCUCUGCCAACCCUAGAGAUAGGGCGUUCCCCUUCGGGGGACAGAGUGACAGGUGGUGCAUGGUUGUCGUCAGCUCGUGUCGUGAGAUGUUGGGUUAAGUCCCGCAACGAGCGCAACCCUUGAUCUUAGUUGCCAGCAUUCAGUUGGGCACUCUAAGGUGACUGCCGGUGACAAACCGGAGGAAGGUGGGGAUGACGUCAAAUCAUCAUGCCCCUUAUGACCUGGGCUACACACGUGCUACAAUGGACGGUACAAACGGUUGCCAACCCGCGAGGGGGAGCUAAUCCGAUAAAACCGUUCUCAGUUCGGAUUGUAGGCUGCAACUCGCCUAC
rnacentral:rRNA from 1 species